UUGUGACCAUAUCAUGUUGAAACACCAGUUCUCCUCCAGUCACCAAAUUUAAGCAACAUCAAGCCUGGUCAGUACCUAGAUGGGUGACCACUUGGGAAUACAAGGCACUGCAA